CCUACGGGAGGCAGCAGUGGGGAAUCUUGCACAAUGGAGGAAACUCUGAUGCAGCGAUGCCGCGUGAGUGAAGAAGGCCUUUGGGUUGUAAAGCUCUUUUGUAGGGGAAGAUAAUGACUGUACCCUAAGAAUAAGGUCCGGCUAACUUCGUGCCAGCAGCCGCGGUAAUACGAAGGGACCUAGCGUAGUUCGGAAUUACUGGGCGUAAAGCGCGCGUAGGCCGUUGAGUUAGUUAAUUGUGAAAUCCCAAAGCUUAACUUUGGAACUGCAAUUAAAACUGCUCGACUAGAGUUUGAUAGAGGAAAGCGGAAUACAUAGUGUAGAGGUGAAAUUCGUAGAUAUUAUGUAGAACACCAGUUGCGAAGGCGGCUUUCUGGAUCAACACUGACGCUGAGGCGCGAAAGUAUGGGUAGCAAAGAGGAUUAGAUACCCUCGUAGUCCAUACCAUAAACGAUGAUUGCUAGAUGUUGGAAAUUUAUUUUCAGUAUCGCAGCUAACGCAUUAAGCAAUCCGCCUGGGGAUACGACCGCAAGGUUAAAACCUCAAAUGAAUUGACCGGNUGAGAGNGCGAGACGACGACGAGGAGAGG
rnacentral:rRNA from 1 species